rnacentral:rRNA from 1 species
UACGUAGGGGGCAAGCGUUGUCCGGAUUCAUUGGGCGUAAAGAGCGUGUAGGCGGCCAGGUAGGUCCGUUGUGAAAACUCGAGGCUCAACCUCGAGACGUCGAUGGAAACCAUCUGGCUAGAGUCCGGAAGAGGCGAGUGGAAUUCCCGGUGUAGCGGUGAAAUGCGCAGAUAUCGGGAGGAACACCAAUGGCGAAGGCAGCUCGCUGGGACGUUACUGACACUGAGGUGCGAAAGCGUGGGGAGCAAACAGG